rnacentral:rRNA from 1 species
GACGAACGCUGGCGGCGUGCUUAACACAUGCAAGUCGAGCGGUAAGGCCCUUUCGGGGGUACACGAGCGGCGAACGGGUGAGUAACACGUGGGUGGCCUGCCUUUAGCUCUGGGAUAAGCCUGGGAAACUGGGUCUAAUACCGGAUAUGACCCUAUGGCGCAUGUUGUGGGGGUGGAAAGCCUUGUGCGGCUAGGGAUGGGGCCCGCGGCCUAUCAGCUUGUUGGUGGGGUGAUGGCCUACCAAGGCGAUGGACGGGUACGG